GGUAGCCUAGUGGUUAGAGCAUUGGACUAGUAACCAGCAGGUAGCCUAGUGGUUAGAGCGUUGGACUAGUAACCAGCAGGUAGCCUAGUGGUUAGAGCGUUGGACUAGUAACCAGCAGGUAGCCUAGUGGUUAGAGCGUUGGACUAGUAACCAGCAGGUAGGCUAGUGGUUAGAGCGUUGGACUAGUAACCAGCAGGUAGCCUAGUGGUUAGAGCGUUGGACUAGUAACCAGCAGGUAGCCUAGUGGUUAGAGCGUUGGACUAGUAACCAGCAGGUAGCCUAGUGGUUAGAGCGUUGGACUAGUAACCAGCAGGUAGCCUAGUGGUUAGAGCGUUGGACUAGUAACCAGCAGGUAGCCUAGUGGUUAGAGCGUUGGACUAGUAACCAGCAGGUAGCCUAGUGGUUAGAGCGUUGGACUAGUAACCAGCAGGUAGCCUAGUGGUUAGAGCGUUGGACUAGUAACCAGCAGGUAGCCUAGUGGUUAGAGCGUUGGACUAGUAACCAGCAGGUAGCCUAGUGGUUAGAGCAUUGGACUAGUAACCAGCAGGUAGCCUAGUGGUUAGAGCGUUGGACUAGUAACCAGCAGGUAGCCUAGUGGUUAGAGCGUUGGGUCAGUAACCAGCAGGUUGCCUAGUGGUUAGAGCAUUGGACUAGUAACCAGCAGGUAGCCUAGUGGUUAGA